UACAGAGGUGGCAAGCGUUGUUCGGAAUUACUGGGCGUAAAGGGCGCGUAGGCGGUCCCAUAAGUCCCGUGUGAAAUCCCCCGGCUCAACUGGGGAAUGGCACGGGAAACUGCGGGGCUUGAGUUCGGGAGAGGGAAGCGGAAUUCCGGGUGUAGCGGUGAAAUGCGUAGAUAUCCGGAGGAACACCGGUGGCGAAGGCGGCUUCCUGGACCGACACUGACGCUGAGGCGCGAAAGCUAGGGUAGCGAACGGG
rnacentral:rRNA from 1 species